UUCGUGGACAGGGUCUCAAUUAUGAAUAAGAAUUUCACGGAAAUCUCAGGAUGGAGGGGAAGGAGAGGUUGGGGGAGACUCAACCUCACCUCAAGUCAAAGCAUGUGAAUUUCCUAGCUUUCUCUGAAGCAUUUUGCACAGAAUCAGUUCUUUCAUCAUAAAUCUUAUCCAUUCAUACACUUAUUCAUUCAUUCAACACACACAAAAUGCAGAAGAGCCUGGGCUUUAGCAGUUGACAGAUGGAUUCACUGGGUUUGACCACUUAAUAGCCAUGACCUCAAGCAACUGAUCUCACCUUUCUGAGCCUCUGGAUGCUAAUACCUACCUCAUAAGACUAUCUGAGGAUUAUUGAGAUAGUGCCCAGUGGGGCCUGAGCCCAGUGCCUGGCAUGUACAAGUGAGCAAUUGCUGCAGAGUGCCAGGGAGUCAAAGAGGUGCUUCAGAGAUUUCAAGAUGGAAUCACAGAGCUCCUUAAGGAGCCCACAGGCCAGGACAUAAAAUAACCAUGCCGUCAAGGUAUUAAUGUUAUAAGAGGCACAGAAAAGCUGGCACGGCAAAAGCUUUCUUCCAACUGAGAGGACAAGGAAGACUCAAGGGGAUCAGGACCCACAUAUGAGCUGAAUCCUAAAGGCUGCGUUGAGGGAAAGAGUCUUCCCGGGAGGAGGCGACCGUGCAAACAAGUAUAUGCCUAUAUUCUUAGGACCUUGCUAGGCCAAGUACAGCUCGUAGGCGAGCAGGGGAAGCUUGUUCAAAAUAGCAGACUCUUAGGUUCACCCUGUCUCACCAGAUCAGAAUCUACUAUUUGAACAACCAGGAGGCUUAAGUGCAGAUCAAAGUUUGAGGAAGUCUGGGCAGAUAUCUCUGACCUCUGUUAAAUGCCCUUGUGGCAAAUACAGAGGAAGACAGAUGACCUCUCAACAUAUUUGGGCUGAUGACAAGGGUGUGCAGAUGUGCCCAUGCUGGGCCCUUGGCUGGGACGUGCUUCCCAGAACCAGAGGCCCCCAGGAGCACAGCGCCAGAGGCACCUGCCAGCAGACAGAAGGAUUGUGCAGACGCGGAUUGUCCCCAGCCUGUCCUGCCUGAAGUCCAGAAGUUUCCACCAUAGCCCGUGAAUCCAUCCGUGCCUGACCAAGCUUCCUCCCUGGCCACACACCAUGUACCGCCUUGUCCGCCUGUGGCUCCAGCGUGCUGACCUUCUAUCUGCUCCUGGAUGUGC
ensembl:lncRNA